rnacentral:rRNA from 1 species
GCCUAAUACAUGCAAGUCGAACGAGAAAGCACUUCGGUGUGAGUACAGUGGCGCACGGGUGAGUAACACGUAGGUAAUCUAGCCUUUAGUGGGGGUCACAACGGGAAACCGGUGCUAAUACCGCAUGUGGAAGCAAUUCUAAAGGUGGCUUCGGCUAUCGCUAGAGGAUGAGCCUGCGCGACAUUAGCUUGAUGGUGGGGUAAUGGCCUACCAUGGCAACGAUGUCUAGCUGGUCUGAGAGGAUGAUCAGCCACAGUGGAACUGAGACACGGUCCAGACUCCUACGGGAGGCAGCAGUAGGGAAUAUUGCGCAAUGGGGGAAACCCUGACGCAGCAAUGCCACGUGUGUGAGGAAGGCUUUCGGGUUGUAAAACACUGUCAGAAGGGCAGAACGGCUAUAGGCAUAAUACCCGUUAGUCAGACGGUACCAGCAGAGGAAGCACCGGGUAACUUCGUGCCAGCAGACGCGGUAAUACCGAAGGGUGCAAGCGUAGUGCGGAUUAAUCGGGCGUAAAGCGCGCGCAGGCGGAUAUUUAAGUCACGGUGUGAAUUCUCGGGGCUUCAACCCCUAACUGCGCCUGAUACUAUUUAUCUUGAGUCUCGAAGGGGGAUGGGGAAUUUCACGUGUAGGGUUAAAAUCCGUAGAGAUGUGAAGGAACACCUGUGCCGAAGGCGCCAUCCUGGACGAGUACGGACGCUGAGGCGCGAAAGCGUGGGGAGCAAACAGGAUUAGAUACCCUGGUAGUCCACGCCGGUAAACGAUGAGCACUAGUUAUUGGGGGUAUUGACUCCCUCAGUGACGCAGCUAACGCAUUAAGUGCUCCGCCUGGGGAGUACGGUCGCAAGACUAAAACUCAAAGGAAUUGACGGGGGCCCGCACAAGCGGUGGAUUAUGUGGUUUAAUUCGAAGCAACGCGCAGAACCUUACCUGGGCUUGAACUCCUGAGAACUUCGGGUAAUGCCGAAGGUGCCCUUCGGGGAAUUCAGUGAGAGGUGCUGCAUGGCUGUCGUCAGCUCGUGUUGUGAAAUGUUGGGUUAAGUCUCGCAACGAGCGCAACCCCUAUCUUUAGUUGCCAGCAUUAAGUUGGGCACUCUAGAGAGACUGCCUGGGUUAACCAGGAGGAAGGUGGGGAUGACGUCAAGUCCUCAUGGCCCUUAUGUCCAGGGCUACACACGUAAUACAAUGGCAUGUACAAUGGGAAGCGAACUCGCGAGGGGGAGCAAAUCUCAAAAAGCAUGUCCCAGUCCGGAUUGGAGUCUGCAACUCGACUCCAUGAAGUUGGAAUCGCUAGUAAUCGUAGAUCAGCACGCUACGGUGAAUACGUUCCCGGGCCUUGUACACACCGCCCGUCACACCAUGGGAGUUGUUUCAAUCUUAAGACGUGACU